AUCACUCUGUUUUCCUCUUCUUGCCCUAAAGGAGUUUAGACGAUUACCGGGGAAUGAGGGUGUUGAACAUCGGAUCCCCUAUUACCGUACAUGUGGAUAAGUACCCUUGGCCGCAUCAUGAAUGUUAUUGGAGAGCAAAUAAAGGCCAAUUACUUCCUAUCCAGCGUGAGGCUCCUGCCUUUGUUGAUCAAGCAACAGAGCAGCAAAUCCUUUUUAUUGGUAUCAAGGUUGUUGAUCUUCUUGCACCUUCUCAGAACGGUGAGAAAAUGAGAUUGAAUCAAGCAUCCCCAGAAUUUGCAAAGAGAGAAACUCAUCAACACGGGUUAAAAAAAUGUUUUCGUCGGGGAAACGGAAAAAUUAAGGCAGCUUCAUAGCGUGUCAAAUGCUCUUAUUUUUGUUUGGAAGAAACUCUAUCAUUGGUCAGUCGGUGGCAGCGGCUUGGAGGAAUGUCCGAUCUUCAAUUGGGGAAUUCUGAUAGUGGAAUUGGCGGCAACGGGGAGGUUGAAGGAGGUGGAAGUGGAUCAAAGAUGGCACGUCGACAGUCUGAAGAAGUAG